rnacentral:rRNA from 1 species
UACGAAGGUGGCAAGCGUUGUUCGGAUUUACUGGGCGUAAAGGGAGCGUAGGUGGUUAGGUAAGCCCUCCGGGAAAUCUUCAGGCUUAACCUGAAAAGGUCGGGGGGGACUGCCUAGCUAGAGGGCGGGAGAGGAGCGCGGAAUUCCCGGUGUAGAGGUGAAAUUCGUAGAUAUCGGGAGGAACACCAGUGGCGAAGGCGGCGAUCUGGGAAGAUACUGACGCUGAGGUGCGAAAGCGUGGGGAGCAAACAGG